GAUUUCAUUGUAAUGCAUCUCAAUUUGUAAACAAAAACUUCUCAAUUAUGAUUUACUGCUUAGUGGUGAAACUGAUAAAUUAUGUAACCUUUGUUUUCAUCAUUUUAAGUAGAACUAUUGCUAUUGUAUAGGAGCGUUAUGUUUACAAACCGUGUUUGAAUUCUAAACUCUCCUGCACAACGUCUUUUUUCUAUUUGUGUAUAUGUGCAAAUGAACGACUAAAACUAAACAUCAGGUUCUUCUGACCUAAUCCUUUGGUAUCCAGCAUGAGCGCUGCAACCAGAGUCGUCAACAGCUGUUUCAGGAAGUCCAUCUGGCCAAUCAGCUCCUGGCUCACUGUGACACAUGACCCCAGCAGUUUGGAGAAGCUGGACAGGAACUGAAGUUGUGUGACGAACUAGAAACACACAGGAAGACAGAUUAACCACACAUGCAAACAGGAAGCACACGUUUAUUAUUAGAGUGGACGUAUAGUAAGAAUAAGUGUUUCUGUGUUCAGCUGCAAAGACAAUAGGAUGCUUUGAGUAUAAGCUCGUUGAGUAUUCCACCCAACACCAAAAUCUGGAGGCGCCCUCAGAGAACCUGAACUGUACACACUCACAUUUCUCAAGGACGUUGGGCGUCUUCAGCUCAGUCAGACACGUCUCCAUGGGCCCAAUAUCCACCAGGCUGAGGAGGAAGAGAAGGAUGAUGGGAAAUGUGCGUGUUUGUAAGAAACUAGCUGGAGGGGGAUUGGGGCUACAAUUAACAUGAAUUCUCUACUGAAUAAAAUAUAUACAUGUUGAUUUCUAUCAUCUUUAAUCUUUAUAAAAAAUGACAAAAAUAUGUUUCCAGAGCUCGGUGUUGAUUUAAUGACUUUUAUUUACACUACAAGCAGAAAAUGUUUGAUGUUUUCACUGACUACUUAAAUUAAUUACUAAAUAAAAUAUUAAUUUCUUUACACAGAAACUUUUCUUCUUGUAUUUUAUACUUUAUACCGUCUUAUUUUAUUUUAGCUUGUUUUAAUUUUCUAUUCUCCUGGCUCUUUAAAUAACCGUUUAUUUCAUUACAUUUUUAUUUGUUCGGCUCAUGGAAUAAAUAAUAAAUGAAAAUAUUAUUAUUCUAUUCUUUUUUUUUUAACAAUUCGCAAUCAAAACACAAUUUAGAAAUGUUAUGAC
rnacentral:lncRNA from 1 species